rnacentral:rRNA from 1 species
UACGUAGGGGGCUAGCGUUGUCCGGAUUUAUUGGGCGUAAAGAGCGUGUAGGCGGCCUGGUAGGUCUGCUGUGAAAACUCGAGGCUCAACCUCGAGAUGUCGGCGGAAACCAUCUGGCUAGAGUCCGGAAGAGGAGAGUGGAAUUCCUGGUGUAGCGGUGAAAUGCGCAGAUAUCAGGAAGAACACCAAUGGCGAAAGCAGCUCUCUGGGACGGUACUGACGCUGAGACGCGAAAAGCGUGGGGAGCAAACAGG